rnacentral:rRNA from 1 species
AUUGAACGCUGGCGGCAGGCCUCACACAUGCAAGUCGAACGAGUGGCGGACGGGUGAGUAAUGUCUGGGAACCUGACUGAUGGAGGGGGAUAACUACUGGAAACGGUAGCUAAUAGCGCCUACCAUCGGAUGUGCCCAGAUAGGAUUAGCUAGUAGGUGGGGUAAAGGCUCACCUAGGCGACGAUCACUAGCUGGUCUGAGAGGAUGACCAGCCACACUGGAACUGAGACAAGGUCCAGACUCCUAAGGUAGGCAGCAGUGGCGAAUAUUGCACAAUGGGCGCAAGCCUGAUGCAGCCAUGCCGCGUGUAUGAAGAAGGCCUUCGGGUUGUAAAGUACUUUCAGCGGGGAGGCGUUACCCGCAGAAGAAGCACCGGCUAACUCCGGGCCAGCAGCCGCGGUAAUAC